rnacentral:lncRNA from 1 species
AGUGAUUCUUCCAGUGGACAGUGGCCCUGUUCAGUUCCUCUUGAUGACAGUUUCCUGAUGUCUGCAGUGCCUUAGCUGACUGUGCUUUUGAGCUUCUGCAGUUUCUAAGAUAUAUAUGUGCAGCCUGUCCCAUUGGCUGUGCCCCCACCAGAGUCGCACAUUGGUUGUGGGUGAUGAACCUACAUGAUCCCUUAUACCCACCCAUCAUGUCUGCAGUUUACAUUAGGAUUUGCUCCUGGUGCUGUACAUUUCAUGGGUGGCUGGGCUGAGGGCCAGUCAGUGUUCCCAGAGAAUCCAGGAAGCAGUCAUGGCCUAUAGACAGGGUUGUGCCUCCGGCUGGAUUCACACCCCUGUUUCUGCUGCUGCUGGACUUAAUUGAUAAACUGGUACUAGCACUGAACUAUCCCACUACCCUCCAAGCUUUGUGCCACUUCUGAGCUGGGCUGCCUGCUGCAAGUAGAGUUUGAGAACAUACCUUAUAGCUAGCACAAAGUAGGGGAGUUGGUAGUAGAAGGCAGCAGAGGCCAUGGUACCCUUAGUAGCACACAAUGAAUCCACAAACAUCUCCCAAGAAAAAGGGAUUACAGGACCUGAGGACAGUCUAAACUUUCCAAGAGCAGAAGUAUAUAUAUAUGGACAAAGACCAACACGGACAAACUGUGCUUCUGAUUUGGGAUCCAUUCACACAGAAGACAUCAUGAAGGCCCAAGUCCUUGGUCCCAUCAAAGGACAAGGGUCUUGGUGGAG